rnacentral:lncRNA from 1 species
AACAAACCACGAAACCCUGCCAACCAUGGCUGCUCCAGUGAGAGGCUCCUCAGGAGUGUCUUAGCAUUUCCUGUCUGCUCCCUCAGGCGCCCUCCUGACCCCGAGAGGGGCCCUAGUGUCCCAUAGCCGGAAGCAUGGGGAGUGCUGGAAACCCCACUGCAGUGGGGGUCCUGGGGGUGGCCACGGCGCUGCUCGCCUUGGCCGCAUCACUCAUGCCUCCCAGAGGGGCCUGUGGGGCUGGAGGAGGGGACAGCAGCCUGUGAAGCAACGGAGC